rnacentral:rRNA from 1 species
GAUGAACGCUGGCGGCGUGCUUAACACAUGCAAGUCGAACGAAGACAUCUGAGUGCUUGCACUUGGAUGGACUGAGUGGCGGACGGGUGAGUAACGCGUGGGUAACCUGCCUUAUACAGGGGGAUAACAGUUGGAAACGACUGCUAAUACCGCAUAAGCGCACGGUAUCGCAUGAUACAGUGUGAAAAACUCCGGUGGUAUAAGAUGGACCCGCGUCUGAUUAGCUUGUUGGUGAGGUAACGGCCCACCAAGGCGACGAUCAGUAGCCGGCCUGAGAGGGUGAACGGCCACAUUGGGACUGAGACACGGCCCAAAACUCCUACGGGAGGCAGCAGUGGGGAAUAUUGCACAAUGGGGGAAACCCUGAUGCAGCGACGCCGCGUGAGUGAUGAAGUAUUUCGGUAUGUAAAACUCUAUCAGCAGGGAAGAUAAUGACGGUACCUGACUAAGAAGCACCGGCGUAACUACGUG